CUCCGAAAGGACCGGCGUCACGCUCCUCCACGCUCCUCAUUUGGAAAGAAGUUUUUUGUGUAUUUUUGUGUUGAAAUCACGAAUUUUUGUAUUGUUCCUCCACGUGGUACCGGCCUCGAGUUCGGAGUUCCAGUUUAACCCGACGAAGUGUCUCGGUACGACCUGCAAUCUGGACCACCGAGCGGCAAGAGGUCCGCGUCCAAUUCGUCGCAGCCAUCAGAAGCCACAGGGUGAAACGGAGCUUUCUGAAAAAUGGACCACGUCGAAUUCCAGCGGUCAACGUCGAUAAUCGAGCAUCUAAGGGCGCGAGGCUGUCUCGUUCCCCGCUGUCCGAUCCGCUUUGUCUCGCACGCACGGCCGUGGUGCGCAGGCAGCGCGGCAAUUAGCGAAUUCAGAUUCAGAGCCGAUAAAUUAAAGCCGUUGCGU